GCAUCAAAAAAUACAGUACAAUAAUCAGGCAGGCUGAUGCCCGGCCUGAGCUUGUUUUGGAGGUCAAGCAAGGUCAAACCUCGCGCAGUGGCAGCAGUGGCGGUGGGUGAUGGGAGGGGCUCCCACUGUCCACAGCCUCCCUGCAAACUCCCCUUCCUGAAAUGAAAGCUGGCCGCUGGGGUGCUGAUGGCCUGGUGCUGCCGAGCUGGCUGUUCUGCAGACCUCCUGCUCUGUGAGCCUCUAGCAGGUCCCAGUGGCCUGGGCCGUGAAUGGAUGCCCUGCCCAUGGACUCCUAAUGCCGGGGCUCUAGGGGUAUUUUUUACUGCUUGCUUACUCUUCCUGAGGGCCUCCUAGCUGCUCUGCCACCUCCCCUAUGUCCUCUCUGGCCAGCCUUGCUUUUGUGGUCAGGCCAGGUGGGAAAAAGCUUUUGGCUUGGCUCCUGGUUUGUCAGGAGUCCAAUAUUAGCAGGGGUCUUGCCUGGUUUCAGGUAUUCCCCAGGGCCUUUCCUAGCUCCAUAGUCAUGUUUCCAGCCAGAAUUUCUUGGCUCUGGGAAAGACUGAAUGCCUGUCUGAGUCUUCUGGGCCUGUGUUUCAUUUGGAGCUGCCUAGCCAAGUGCUGGGUGACAGUCUCGGGCACAGUCAGCCCACCCCCUCCUGCUCGGCCACAGAGGAGGCCCUUUGUGUCUUCGUCCUGAAGUCUGGAGGGGGUGCUCCUAGCGCCUUCCAGAGCCCUGUGUCCUGGGCUCACUUCAGCUCCAGCCCAGUGUCAGGGGAUGCUGGCUGUCUGCUGGGCCAAGCAAAAGUGAGAAUGCCAACCCUGAGCAGCCCGGCCCAGCCCCUCUCUCUUUCUGAGUCAGACGGGGACCUGCUCUGCACCUGGCGCUUUCCUGCUAGGAUUUCCAGCUGUUCUGAUCCUUCAUGCAGGGGCUGACAGGGCUGAAGAGAUCCAGAACCAGAACAACAGAGGGGACCCGCAGAACGUCAGGCCUCGCCUCCGAGGGCUUAGAGAUGCCCUUUGUGGACUCCCCACCACUUCCUCCUGCCUUUGGUUUGAUGGUAGCCAUGGCCUGAUGCGGAUGCUGGGCCCUGGAGUCCAAACUUCAGCAAAGAGAGACUUUAUCAUGGUGACAGCACUGCCACUCCACUGCUGAGAAGUGUGAGCCAGCACUGCUGGUGACGCUGCCAAAUGGGACCCUGUUCAGGACGUGGACAAGAAAAGAAAAGAAAAGAAAAAGAAAAAGAAAUCUAGGACUUGGAGACAGUUGGAGACCCGAAGGGACUAAGCACAGUACUGCCUCAAGGAACUUCUGAGUUUGGAAGACAUGGGGACAGGUCAACAGCAGACUGUGAGACACCGCAACUGCCAAGUCACAGGCUCAAGGGCUACCCUCAAGGGUAUUCAUUCAUUGAAUCAGCCCUACAGGUCUCUCCUAGCGACUCCAGGGCCCCGCGCGCCCCCUAGUGGCGGCUCACGCCUGCGCAGUCUUCGUCGCCCAGACCUGCUGCACAAGAGACUACUAACACAACCCGGGAGCCCAACGCUGGGUCCCGUCCUGGGCGACCUUCUCUGCCUGUCCCUCUGCGCACGCUCCUCUCUUGAUAACUAAUUCCAGCCCUGUUCCUGCUCUUCUUGGAGACUGAGCAUCUCUCCCCUGACCAACCACCCUGGCAGGUGAUUCAGAGAUUGUAUCACAAUAGAAAUAGUAAAGUGGUCCGCUUUGCAGGAGGGGAUACAUUCCAGGAUCCUGGGGAUGAAACUGUGAAUAGCACCUGAUGCAACCUCUUACACACUCCCAUCAUAAAGCUUAACUUACAAAUUAGGCACAGGAGAGAGACCACAAUCAAUCAUAAAAUAGAACUGUAACAACGCACCAUCAUAAAUUAUGUGCAUACCGCGUCCCUUUCUUCUGAGUCAAGACAAAUACAGUUAUUCAUACUUUUUGUCACAGUUGUCUGAUGGUGGCAUUCACCUGGGAAAGGGAAGCUAAGGACAUGAGCAUCGUCUGUGAUGCACGAGGGACCCAAGUCAGGUUGGCACCACCUCAAGUCUUGCUCCUUUUGGAUGAGCCCUGUACCAGCUGACCCAGUGUGCAAAGAGCCCUGAGCUUCAGCAACCGAGUAAUCAAGUAUCUACACUGUGGUCAAGUCCCUUGGGGAGAGGGAAACGAGUCCCUACCCUGUGAAACUUGCUGACUUGUGCUGGAUUCUGUGGUCACCUGAAGUGCCUCAGCACCCUAAGGUGGGGAUCCAUCCACCACCCCAAAACCCCCGUGGGACUUUCUUCCAGAGAUUUAGGACACUCCUGUUUUAAACAGGAUUCAAGUGGUCGCCUAUAAAAUCCCAGAGUUCCUCAAGGUCAGUAUGCAAAUUAACACCUGGUGGCCUUCUCAACACAAAAUAGAUCAAGCCUUAAAGCUGAGAAACAAACACCAAAGUUGUCUUUUAAUUCAACCCUAGAAACUUUCAGUGAAAUAUCCUCAAGCUGAACACCACUGGAAGAGAGCGGGAAGUUGGGGGACAAUGAAAUCUCCCUGAAAGAGCAGUCUGUGUUUCUCCUGCAGUUGUGACCCAGAGUCCAUUAACAGGAACCUGCCUGGCCCGUGAGCAAACUCUGCCAUCUUAGCCCUGUUGUUUCCAUGGCAACUACCAAAGGUGGUCCCUUUUCUUUCCUACAGAUGCCCCCCCCCUCCACUUUCAGGCAGGGUGGAGGACUGGAUUCUGAACCAAAACUAUUUGCACAGGUAUUGUUUCCCUUCUUUCAAACCAUGUUUUAAGAAAGCACAAACUAUUUCUUUAAUUUACACAGAAAUGCCUUUUAAAAAUAAAGCAGAAAUAUCAAACA